UACAGAGGUCUCAAGCGUUGUUCGGAUUCAUUGGGCGUAAAGGGUGCGUAGGCGGCGCGGUAAGUCGGGUGUGAAAUCUCGGAGCUUAACUCCGAAACUGCAUUCGAUACUGCCGUGCUUGAGGGACUGGAGAGGAGACUGGAAUUUACGGUGUAGCGGUGAAAUGCGUAGAUAUCGUAAGGAAGACCAGUGGCGAAGGCGGGGUCUCUGGACAGUUUCCUGAC
rnacentral:rRNA from 1 species